rnacentral:rRNA from 1 species
AGCGAACGCUGGCGGCAGGCCUAAUACAUGCAAGUCGAACGCCCCUUCGGGGGAGUGGCGGACGGGUGAGUAACGCGUGGGAACGUGCCCUUUGGUUCGGAACAACACAGGGAAACUUGUGCUAAUACCGAAUGUGCCCUUCGGGGGAAAGAUUUAUCGCCAUUGGAGCGGCCCGCGUUGGAUUAGGUAGUUGGUGGGGUAAAGGCCUACCAAGCCUACGAUCCAUAGCUGGUCUGAGAGGAUGAUCAGCCACACUGGGACUGAGACACGGCCCAGACUCCUACGGGAGGCAGCAGUAGGGAAUCUUGCGCAAUGGGCGAAAGCCUGACGCAGCCAUGCCGCGUGAAUGAUGAAGGUCUUAGGAUUGUAAAAUUCUUUCACCGGGGAAGAUAAUGACGGUACCCGGAGAAGAAGCCCCGGCUAACUUCGUGCCAGCCGCCGCAGUAAUAC